AAUUUGAAAUCUGGCCCCCCGGCCCGAGUUGUAAUUUGCAGAGGAUGCUUUUGGUGAGGCACCCACCGAGUCCCCUGGAAUGGGGCGCCAUAGAGGGUGAGAGCCCCGUAUGGUAGGACGCCGAACCUCUGUAAAGCUCCUUCGACGAGUCGAGUAGUUUGGGAAUGCUGCUCUAAAUGGGAGGUAAAUUUCUUCUAAAGCUAAAUACCGGCCAGAGACCGAUAGCGCACAAGUAGAGUGAUCGAAAGAUGAAAAGCACUUUGAAAAGAGGGUUAAAAAGUACGUGAAAUUGUUGAAAGGGAAGCGCUUGUGACCAGACUUGCGCCGGGCGGAUCAUCCAGCGUUCUCGCUGGUGCACUCCGCCCGGUUCAGGCCAGCAUCGGUUUUCGCCGGGGGACAAAGGCUUCGGGAACGUGGCUCCUCUCGGGGAGUGUUAUAGCCCGUUGCGUAAUACCCCGGCGGGGACCGACGACCGCGCUUCGGCAAGGAUGCUGGCGUAAUGGUCAUCAGCGACCCGUCUUGAAACACGGACCGAGGAGUCAAGCAUUAGUGCGAGUGUUUGGGUGUAAAACCCGCACGCGUAAUGAAAGUGAACGUAGGUGAGAGCUUCGGCGCAUCAUCGACCGAUCCUGAUGUUUUCGGAAGGAUUUGAGUAGGAGCAUUAACGCUUGGACCCGAAAGAUGGUGAACUAUACUUGAAUAGGGUGAAGCCAGAGGAAACUCUGGUGGAGGCUCGCAGCGGUUCUGACGUGCAAAUCGAUCGUCAAAUUUGAGUAUAGGGGCGAAAGACUAAUCGAACCAUCUAGUAGCUGGU
rnacentral:rRNA from 1 species